ACUCAUGCACGCACCAUUCUUUUUUGCUUUCUCGUUUAUCCGGCCCUCAUGAGGGAAGGCCCGUCGUCACGUGAAGCACUCGCGUAAACAGAAAGCAAAGACGAAUCGAGCCUCCCCUAGCGGAGGUUUUUUUUU
rfam:Aeromonas hydrophila subsp. hydrophila ATCC 7966, complete genome.